rnacentral:rRNA from 1 species
UUAAUUCGAAGCAACGCGAAGAACCUUACCAAAUCUUGACAUCCUCUGACAGCCCUAGAGAUAGGGUUUCCCUUCGGGGCAGAGUGACAGGUGGUGCAUGGUUGUCGUCAGCUCGUGUCGUGAGAUGUUGGGUUAAGUCCCGCAACGAGCGCAACCCUUAAGUUUAGUUGCCAUCAUUAAGUUGGGCACUCUAGACUGACUGCCGGUGACAAACCGGAGGAAGGUGGGGACGACGUCAAAUCAUCAUGCCCCUUAUGAUUUGGGCUACACACGUGCUACAAUGGACAGGCUACAAAGGGCAGCGACGCCGCGAGGCCAAGCGAAUCCCAUAAAACUGUUCUCAGUUCGGAUUGGAGUCUGCAACUCGACUCCAUGAAGCUGGAAUCGCUAGUAAUCGUAGAUCAGCAUGCUACGGUGAAUACGUUCCCGGGUCUUGUACACACCGCCCGUCA